UAGAGGGUGGAUGGAGAGCUACAGGGUUGAUUGCAGGAUAUGGUGUGGAGGGGUAUGGGGUGGAUGGAAGGAUGGAGGGAUGGAUGCAGGGUGGAUGGAUACAGGUUGGAACGAUACCGAGUAGAUAGAGGGACAGGGGGUGAAUGGAGGGAUACUGGGUGGAUAGAGGGACAGGGGUGAAUGGAGGGAUACUGGGAAGAUAGAGGGACAGGGGGUGAAUGGAGGGAUAUUGGGUGGAUAGAGAGGACAGGGGGUAAAUGAAGGGAUACUGGGUGGAUAGAGGGUGAAUGGAGGGAUACUGGGUGGAUAGAGGGACAGGGGGUGAAUGGAGAGAUAUUGGGUAGAUAGAGGGACAGGGGGUGAAUGGAGGGAUACUGGGUGGAUAGAGGGUGAAUGGAGGGAUAUUGGGUAGAUAGAGGGACAGGGGGUGAAUGAAGGGAUACUGGGUGGAUAGAGGGUGAAUGGAGAGAUACUGGGUGGAUUGAGGGACAGGGGUGAAUGGAGGGAUAUUGGGUAGAUAGAGGGACAGGGGGUGAAUGAAGGGAUACUGGGUGGAUAGAGGGUGAAUGGAGGGAUACUGGGUAGAUAGAGGGACAGGGGGUGAAUGGAGGGAUACUGGGUAGAUAGAGGGACAGGGGGUGAAUGGAGCGAUACUGGGUGGAUAGAGGGACAGGGGGUAAAUGAAGGGAUACUGGGUGGAUAGAGGGUGAAUGGAGGGAUACUGGGUGGAUAGAGGGUGAAUGGAGGGAUACUGGGUGGAAAGAG
ensembl:lncRNA